CAGUAGCCACGGUAAUACGAAGGGGGCUAGCGUUGUUCGGAAUUACUGGGCGUAAAGCGCACGUAGGCGGAUAUUUAAGUCAGGGGUGAAAUCCCAGAGCUCAACUCUGGAACUGCCUUUGAUACUGGGUAUCUUGAGUAUGGAAGAGGUGAGUGGAAUUCCGAGUGUAGAGGUGAAAUUCGUAGAUAUUCGGAGGAACACCAGUGGCGAAGGCGGCUCACUGGUCCAUUACUGACGCUGAGGUGCGAAAGCGUGGGGAGCAAACAGGAUUAGAGACCCCAGUAGUCCCUGUCUCUUAUAC
rnacentral:rRNA from 1 species